rnacentral:rRNA from 1 species
GGUGAACGCUGGCGGCGUGCUUAAGACAUGCAAGUCGAACGGCAGUCUUCGGACUGUAGUGGCGCACGGGUGAGUAACGCGUAACUGACCUACCCCAAAGUCGCGGAUAACGAUUCGAAAGAAUCGCUAAUACGUGAUGUGCUGUCAGAUUGUGUUCUGCCAGUAAAGAUUGAUUGCUUUGGGAUGGGGUUGCGUUCCAUCAGCUAGUUGGUGGGGUAAAGGCCCACCAAGGCGACGACGGAUAGCCGGCCUGAGAGGGUGGCCGGCCACAGGGGAACUGAGACACGGGUCCCACUCCUACGGGAGGCAGCAGUUAGGAAUCUUCCACAAUGGGCGAAAGCCUGAUGGAGCGACGCCGCGUGAGGGAAGAAGGUCUUCGGAUCGUAAACCUCUGAAUCAGGGACGAAAGACACUUCGGUGGGAUGACGGUACCUGAGUAAUAGCACCGGCUAACUCCGUGCCAGCCGCCGCGGUAAUAC